UCGGUAUAUUACUUUAAAAUAAGUUAGACGUUACACCAAUCAGGGUCAUACUGUACUAGCAUUUACUACAUUCCGGGUACUUUGUCCCGCCAAAAAAAGCUUGGUCCACGCUCCACUUUUCCCUCGUCGUUGUAACAAGAAUAUGGAAGAAACUGCUCGACUACUAUCGCAAUGUGGGUUGGAUUGCUAUUUUGAUACUUUCAAGGAAAAUGCAAUAACGGACGACGCGACGCGGAAUAAGAUUUGGCAACAAUUGUACCAAUACGAAACUUUGAAAGGAAUUCAGAAGUAGAGAAAUGGCACGAUUUACGUAUGUUUUCAAUGCAAAAAUUCCUUCAUCAAUACCAUUACUCUCCGAUCACUUUAAAUAUGUACAUAGGUUAUCAAAGUUAACGCAAUUAUUUCAUAUUAUUUUGGUUGUUCUAUAAUUGUGAUUUAAAGAGUUCAAGUGGAUUUAAUUGAAAUAAAUAUAUGCUAAUGAGGAGAUUCACAAAUACCGCAUUCAUUUCAUUAAGACACUAAAUACCGCGACCAUUAUUCAUUUUACUUAAUAUGGGGUUAGAACAGUAACCCCAACCAGGGUUAGCACCUAGACGAGAAUAGGGUAAAUGGCUAUUUGCAAAGGGUAACUACCGUUACUUUGUUGCUGCAUGGUGGCUGUAUACCCCAAAUCGGGUAAAGUCACUUUUACGUUUAUAUUUAGUUAUAUUUUACUCCUUUUAGGGUAAUAAUUUUUAAGCGUGUAGGUAGUUAAAAUUAAUGAGUCAAGAUUAAUGGCGUGUGGAUAUUUAUUUAUUCUGUUAAAUUUUUAAGCAUAAUGUUCGUAGCAUAGCGCGUGAUCCACUCCAAGUCCCAUUUUUCCAAUUGAAAUAGAUUAACAACUUUGGCCAUCUUUGACUUGCAUCGCAAUGUUUGCUGUUGCGGAUUAAACAUUGAAGACGAACCAUACAUUUAAUCCUCCACGACUUAUUACUGACGGACAUUCCUCUUUUCAUCGUCUCAUCUCAGUACCGGCGAGUGCAUGACAUUUCACGUGGUGUCGUCUGUUUAACACAAAAUCUAGCAUUUUCAACAUAUCAAUGACUUCUUGAUUCAUAUUUGUACCUAAAUUGCAUCUCCUUAUCAUUAUCCUUGUCUGACGAUAAUCUUAAUCGAUUCCUUGACUCAAGAAGACGACCGCUGUCUUGAUAUUCGUGUCGUUUCAUCAAGGAGCAAAUAUUCCGACCACAUGUUUGCAAAACUGACCGACGACAGCACUGAUAACGAGCAACAUUAAAAUCUCCUCCCUCAUUGUUGUAAGAGGCACACGGCAACUGCAUUGCGCAUACUAAUAAAAAGAGACAACCAGUCAUUGUUGAUUGUGCAAGGGAGGAAGCUAAAUUAACUUUGUGAGACUAUCAAAGCCUUGCUAAAUCUAAUGUAACGUGCAAUUUUAUUGUUGUCUGUUAGAGAACGUAGAAUGUAUGUAUGCUCAACUGAGCAACAUUAAUUAUCCGAUUUGCAUAUGACAACUCUGUCCGUCAGUCAUAUUAUUUUUACUAUUAGCAAUUUGUUCUUGCGCAUUAAUUUGUUUUUUUUGAGGGAUCAAGAAACUUGUAGAUUCCUGUAACUCGGCUGUAAAUUUUGUGUGUUUACUAACAAAAAAGUGAGGUCUCAAGUUGGAAGGAGUGUUUGCACUC